UACUUGUUUGUUUGUUUGGGGGAUUUGUUUAUUUAUUUGGUAUUUAUUUACUCAUUUCUUUUCUACUCCUCUUGCUCCCAGGACCAGUUCCCUGGAUCCCUGAUUCCCCCCAGGAGCAGCAGGAAAAGGAUCAGCAAAUCCCUGUCCAUGCAGAGUGCUGGAGCAUCCCAAAAUCCGGGAAUGGCUCUGGAAUUCUAUGGAAUUCUGCCCAGGGAAUUAAAAAAAGGGGAUGUGUUGGAUCCUGGGGAUGAGGAGAGGGAGCAGAGUUCAAACCUUGGCAAUUCCAGAGCUUUGGAAAGAGCAGGAGAUCCCAAAGUGCUGCUCAGGAUCCCGGAUGCUCCAGCACAGGCUCGUCCCUCACUCCCAGAAUCCACAGGAGCCUCCUCCAGCCCCACCUCUGCCUCUGGAGUUGUGUUUUCCUGAGCAGGACACAACAUUCCAGAGCCUGGGGUUCCCUCGCAGGGUUUGGGAUGUCCCCUCCUGUGGAGACGGGAGUGGCUGUUCCUGGAGGCAGCUCUGGAAGCUGGAAAAGCCUGGGAAUGUGGGAGCAUUCCUGCAUUUCCUCAGCUCCGUGGAAUUCGGGAUCAGCAGCUCCCAAACCUGCAAUGGGGUGGGGUCCCUCCACCCCCUGCUGUGCCUGGAGCAUUCUGCAGCAAUCCUGAAUUAUUGAGGGGAUUCCACUGCAGGCAGGGCUGGGAUGGAGCUGGGAAUUCUCUGGGAGCAGUUGGAGUCUGCAGGGAUUUGAGCAGGAGCUGGAGGAGUUUUCCAUUCCUGUCCCUGACAGCUUUCCCUGCUUGUUUUUCUCUUUGGUUUUUUGUUUUGUUGUUUUUUUUUUUUUUUUUUCCCUAGGUCUGAAUUGUGUUUUCCAUCCUCCCGAAUUUCCCUCUCCUGUUUUCCUGCUUCUCCUGCCUGGGUGGGCUCCAGCAUUCCCAGGAUUUCCAUUCCCUGAUCCCAGGGGGUCCAGGCAGCUCCUGCAGCCUCGGGAGGAGCCCCUGGGCUGGGGAAGGGACCAGAGCCGUGGAAAUCCUGACAGGAGCCACCCCCGGCCCUCAUCCUGUGGGAUUGCAUCCCUGUCCCUUGGGAAUGUGGGAAUCCUUUGGGGAUCCUUUGGGGAUCCUUUGGGAAUCCUUUGGGGAUCCUUUGGGAAUCAUUUGGGGAUCCUUUGGGGAUCCUUUGGGAAUCCUCUGGGGAUCCAUGGGGAAUCCUUUGGGAGUCCUUUGGGGAUCCUUUGGGAAUCAUUUGGGGAUCCUUUGGGAAUCCUUUGGGGAUCCUUUGGGGAUCCUUUGGGGAUCCACGUGGGAGCAGCUGAGACCCUUUCCCCUUUCCCUUUGCUCCACUUGGGGUUUGGGGUGCAGGAUUUGGGAUGAGCAGUUUGGGAUGGGGGAUUUGGGGUGCAGGAUUUGGGAUGGGGGAUUUGGGGUGCAGGAUUUUGAAUGGAGAAUUUGGGAUGGGGAGAUUUGGGGUGCAGGAUUUGGGAUAAGCAGUUUGGGAUGGGGAGAUUUGGGAUGAGCAGUUUGGGAUGCAGGAUUUGAGGUGCAGGAUUUGGUAUGGAGGAUUUGGGGUACAGGAUUUGGGAUGCAGGAUUUGGGAUCUGGGAUUUGGGGUGCAGUAUUUGGGAUGAGCAGUUUGGGGUGCAGGAUUUGGGGUACAGGAUUUGGGAUGCAGGAUUUGGGAUCUGGGAUUUGGGAUUUGGAGUGCAGGAUUUGGGAUGAGCAGUUUGGGGUGCAGGAUUUUGAGUGCAGGAUUUGGGAUGCAGGAUUUGAGGUACAGGAUUUGGGAUGAGCAGUUUGGGGUUCAGUGUUUGGGGUGCAGGAUUUGGGAUGCAGGAUUUGGGAUCUGGGAUUUGGGGUGCAGGAUUUGGGAUGGGGCAUUUGGGGUGCAGGAUUUUGAGUGCAGGAUUUGGGAUGGGGGGAUUUGGGAUGAGCAGUUUGGGGUGCAGGAUUUGAGGUGCAGGAUUUGGUAUGGAGGAUUUGGGGUACAGGAUUUGGGAUGCAGGAUUUGGGAUCUGGGAUUUGGGGUGCAGGAUUUGGGUUGCAGGAUUUGGGAUGCAGUAUUUGGGAUGAGCAGUUUGGGGUGCAGGAUUUGGGGUGCAGGAUUUGGGAUGAGCAGUUUGGGGUUCAGUAUUUGGGGUGCAGGAUUUGGGAUGGGCAGUUUGGGGUGCAGGAUUUGGGAUGAGCAGUUUGGGGUGCACUAUUUUGGCUGCAGGAUUCGGGUUUCCCCGGGCGCUGCCGGCCCCGCGGCUCCGAGCAGGAAUCUCCUCUCCAGCCGGAACAAUGGCCCGUCCUGGUCUCCUUAGAAACCGCGGCUCCGCUUCCCUCGGGCGCCGCGUCCCCGGAGCCUCCGCCCUCCCGGGGCUCUCCCGCCGCCGCGUCUCUGCAACUGCUCCCGCUUUCUCCAACUUCUCGCAAACCUCAGGGAAUCGUUUUAACUCCCCACAUUCCUCCCUCCCUCCCCUCCCCGACCCAAACGUCGCUCCCGGUGUUUCCUGGAAACGCGAAAUUUCCCGCAGCUUUCUCAAACUUUCGGGGCUCCUUGAGGAAAAGAUUGUGGAUUUUGGAGGAUUUUUGGGAAGCUGGAUGUGGGAGCUCAUCCUGAAACUCGGCCAGCAGCCAGCAAAGCUCUCCCAGAGCUCUGGAGAACGGAUUUAUUUGGGGAAUAAAUAAAUUUUGGGAAGUACAAACCCU